ACAUGCAAGUCGAACGGCAGCGCGGGGCAACCUGGCGGCGAGUGGCGAACGGGUGAGUAAUAUAUCGGAACGUACCCUGGAGUGGGGGAUAACGUAGCGAAAGUUACGCUAAUACCGCAUACGAUCUAAGGAUGAAAGCAGGGGACCGCAAGGCCUUGUGCUCCUGGAGCGGCCGAUAUCUGAUUAGCUAGUUGGUGGGGUAAAGGCCUACCAAGGCAUCGAUCAGUAGCUGGUCUGAGAGGACGACCAGCCACACUGGUACUGAGACACGGUCCAGACUCCUACGGGAGGCAGCAGUGGGGAAUUUUGGACAAUGGGCGCAAGCCUGAUCCAGCAAUGCCGCGUGAGUGAAGAAGGCCUUCGGGUUGUAAAGCUCUUUUGUCAGGGAAGAAACGGUGGGGGCUAAUAUCCCCUGCUAAUGACGGUACCUGAAGAAUAAGCACCGGCUAACUACGUGCCAGCAGCCGCGGUAAUACGUAGGGUGCAAGCGUUAAUCGGAAUUACUGGGCGUAAAGCGUGCGCAGGCGGUUUUGUAAGUCUGUCGUGAAAUCCCCGGGCUCAACCUGGGAAUUGCGAUGGAGACUGCAAGGCUAGAAUCUGGCAGAGGGGGGUAGAAUUCCACGUGUAGCAGUGAAAUGCGUAGAGAUGUGGAGGAACACCGAUGGCGAAGGCAGCCCCCUGGGUCAAGAUUGACGCUCAUGCACGAAAGCGUGGGGAGCAAACAGGAUUAGAUACCCUGGUGGUCCACGCCCUAAACGAUGUCUACUAGUUGUCGGGUUUUAAUUAACUUGGUAACGCAGCUAACGCGUGAAGUAGACCGCCUGGGGAGUACAGUCGCAAGAUUAAAACUCAAAGGAAUUGACGGGGACCCGCACAAGCGGUGGAUGAUGUGGAUUAAUUCGAUGCAACGCGAAAA
rnacentral:rRNA from 1 species